GAUGAAGAACGUAGUGAAAUGCGAUAAGUAAUGUGAAUUGCAGAAUUCAGUGAAUCAUCGAAUCUUUGAACGCACAUUGCGCCCCUUGGUAUUCCGGGGGGCAUGCCUGUUCGAGCGUCAUUUCAACCCUCAAGCUCUGCUUGGUAUUGGGCUCCGUCCUCAGGGACGCGCCUCAAAGACCUCGGCGGUGGCGUCUUGCCUCAAGCGUAGUAGAAAACACCUCGCUUUGGAGUGCUGGGCGUCGCCCGCCGGACGAACCUUUGAAUUUUUCUCAAGGUUGACCUCGGAUCAGGUAGGGAUACCCGCUGAACUUAAGCAUGUCAAUAAGCGGAGGA
rnacentral:misc_RNA from 1 species